UAGAGUAGUUCUUUGAAAGGUGAUAGUGUGAUUUGCAUAGCAUAAGAUGAAAACUGCAUCUCUGUUAUGCAGUUAGAUUUUGCAAAUAAAUGCUUGUUAGGAUCCAAUUAUUAAAAGAUGCCUCUGCCUGAAUUAAGAUGCAAAUGAGACCAUGUACCAAAGUCAAUAGUAUGGUUUUAUUUAGCAAUAAAUAUGAGGUAGAGAGAGAUAGAAAUAGAAAGAGAGAGAGAGAGAAAGAGAGAGACAGAUUAAGUAGAAAGAUAAAGAUAAAAAUAUCAUCACCACAUGGAUUCUAACAGGGUCCCGCUGGUCCUUCUGGUCUUCUUGGUGAUGAUGGUCCCAAUGUCGUGCUUUUUGGGUACUGCUUUUAUGCAGUCCAAGUCCCGGAUAUUCACAGGGAGUCUCAGAUGUUCCCACAACUUGGGAUGGCAUGAGUGUAAGCAGUUGUUUUCUUUCUCACAGCGUGCACAGUGGAAUUUUGUCCAGUGUGCUAAUUUCAAACCUUUACCUUCAUUUAUGUCUAUAAUUAAUGCUUCCUUUCUCACCGUUUUGCACAGUGGGAAUCUUUGUUCAAGUAGGUUACCCAGAUCUGUCUUACCAGACCUGGUUCCUGUUGUUGCCAUCUGCUCUUAUCACAAGUUCCUGUAGUGGUGGCUUAUCUUAUGGAAAUUUCCUUCUUUGACAGUGUUUUGAAACAAUUCAUGGCAUUCUUUAAGUCCUGUCAAUGCUUUAAUGUGCAUCAAUGAGUGGAGAACUGAAACCUAAAAUAUAAACAGAGAAGGCAGAAUUGAAGCUUACAGGAAGAGUUAACAUAAAAAUACUUUUUCACAUUUUUCCAGGGAUGUGAUGAAAAACCAAAGUAGUUUUGGAAAGGUAGGAUUUAGAUAGUAACUCUUCUGCUUAAGGAGAAAUAUAAUUAUAGCAGCACUUAAGUUUGCUUAUUCUUGAUCACAGUGCUUGCUACUAUAGUACCAAUUCAGAAUGACAUUAUACUUAAUACAAAAAUCCUUUUUUAAAUCUGUAAUUAAAUACCUAGGAGUAGCAGUAAGCCAGUAAGCCUAAACAUAAAAAAGACACAUAUUUUCUGAUGGCUAAGCACUCCACGAGCAUUCCAUAAACAACUUACCACACUGGAAUUAGGUAUAUACUGAUGAGGGUUUUAACUAUUUUCUGCUUUUGUGUCCACAGAACAUUACUGCUAACCUUAUACAACUUGCUGCUAUGGCAGAAUUUUAUUUUUUUAUUAUAUAUUGUAGGCAAGGAGCAAACUAAUAGUUAAAAAAGCCUUCAAACUCUGUAGCACAUGCCAUGAUAAAUCUGGUUGAGUUCAGAUAGGGAUGAAAUUACUUAAAAUAAAUGGGCUGCAUACUUUGAGAAAGUAUUUAUGUCCAUAUGAAUGUUUGUUCAAAAGGGAGAAGAAUAAAGAAAUUGAUCACUUUCCAGAGAUCUGAACAAAAUGCAGUACAUUGUACAGAAUACAGUAAAAUAAAAUUAUGGUGAACUGGAUGUAUUUUGGGUGUUCUUUUUUUAAUGCCUGAAUGUUUAAAAAAUUAUUAGGGGAAAUUGUAUUUUGUCACUUCUGUGGACAGUGCUUUCUUUGAAGACAUGAACUUUUAAGAUGCACUAACGUUAGGUGUGGGAGCCAAGUGCCAUUUUGAGAUACUCUCUGAAAUGGAAGAAAAAUUGGAAAAAAGACCUUCUUGCAACUACAUCUUGUGUCACAGACUAUCUAAAGAAGCCCAGUGCAUGUGGGCAGGCUUCCAGACUGCAGGAAACACUGGAGCUACCAUGUCAGGAAGUAGGGAUGCUUGUUUGCAAGGUGGUACUGUGGUGUGUGAGUCAACAAGCAGCAGAUUGUGAUCAGGCACUCAGUAUCCCUACAUUAGUACUUCUUGUAUAUAGUCUUCUUAAAAUGCUUGUUUUAAAAGAAAAUGUUGACUUGUUAAAAGAAAAACUUUGACUUUUGCAAGUUAUUUGUUAUUUAUGUGUGAACCUUUGUUCUGAAGAGCAAGAGAGAGAAAGGAAAAGCCCCUUACCACCUUCUUGUAUCUGUUUGCAAUAAAUAAUAUGCCUGUGUUGGUUUAGAACUGAACUAAUUUAAGUGUAAAACAGAUUGAUUUAACAGUACAGUUUUAUUCAGUUACUGUGUUAGUUAUGCUUAUGCAUCUGCAUUAUUGUAACAUUAAUCAAAUGAGGUGUGCAGCAGGCAAGGCUGGCCAGCUAACAAAGGAAAAAAAUCUGUUUUUCAAACAUGCCAAGUGAGUUAUGCAGCAUUAACACUGAAGAGAGACUGUGGAGUGAAAGACUGUGGCUGGAAUGCCAACAGGUUCAAACUUAUUGAUUAGAUGUAUUCAGAUCAACGCAGCCUUCUGAGACAUACCUGAGGCUACCAAGAGCAUUGGCCUGGUCAGCUUCUGCUGAGAGAGGUACCAUUGUUCUGACGAACAAAAAUGUAUUUUUGUAAAUACAAGGUCCUUGUGGUCACUAAAGACGUAAGAGACUGCCACUGUUAAUUUGCCAAGAAAUCAUGUAAAAAUAACACUCUGCUGCCUUUGUCAGGAUAACUAGCUUAGCUGUUAAAAAAAAAAAAAAA